rnacentral:rRNA from 1 species
CCUACGGGUGGCAGCAGUGGGGAAUAUUGCACAAUGGGGGAAACCCUGAUGCAGCGACGCCGCGUGAGUGAAGAAGUAUUUCGGUAUGUAAAGCUCUAUCAGCAGGGAAGAAAAUGACGGUACCUGAUUAAGAAGCCCCGGCUAACUACGUGCCAGCAGCCGCGGUAAUACGUAGGGGGCAAGCGUUAUCCGGAUUUAUUGGGUUUAAAGGGAGCGUAGGCGGCAGGUCAAGCGUGCUGUGAAAUGUCCGGGCUCAACCCGGGCCUUGCAGUGGGAACUGUCGUGCUUGAGUGCGCGGAAGGCAGGCGGAAUUCGUAGUGUAGCGGUGAAAUGCGUAGAUAUGACGAAGAACCCCGAUGGCGAAGGCAGCUUGCUGCAGUGGAACUGACGUUGAUGCUCGAAAGCGCGGGGAUCGAACAGGAUUAGAUACCCUAGUAGUC